AUUGAACGCUGGCGGCAGGCCUAACACAUGCAAGUCGAACGAGUGGCGGACGGGUGAGUAAUGCCUGGGAAUCUAGCUGAUGGAGGGGGAUAGCUACGGGAAACUGUAGCUAAUACCGCGUACCUUAGGCUGAGCCGAAGUGGGAUUAGGUAGUUGGUGGGGUAAAGGCUCACCAAGCCGACGAUCUUUAGCUGGUCUGAGAGGAUGACCAGCCACACUGGAACUGAGACACGGCCCAGACUCCUACGGGAGGCAGCAGUGGGGAAUAUUGCACAAUGGGGGCAACCCUGACGCAGCCAUGCCGCGUGUAUGAAGAAGGCCUUCGGGUUGUAAAGUACUUUCGGUAGCGAGGCGUUACCAACAGAAGAAGCACCGGCUAACUACGUGCCAGCAGCCGCGGUAAUAC
rnacentral:rRNA from 1 species